UCAUUUUAACCAUAAAUGUGAAUGGGGUGAACUUCCUCUUCCCCCAGCGCCAAAUCCCUGCCCCGCGGUGGGGCGCAAGCCAUGUGGUGUAGGGAAGACCCACUCCCUGGUGCCACUCUCGGUGGGGGCCCAAGUCCUUCUGAUUGAGGCACAGCCCAUGGACGGUGUGAGGCCAGUAGUGGCCCCCGGCAUGCUGGGACCAGGUCUUCUCGGAGUCGGGUUGCUUGGGAAUGCAGCCCAAAGUGGGUGGUAAACCCCAUCUAAGGCUAAAUACCUGCACAAGACCGAUAGUCAACAAGUACCGUAAGGGAAAGUUGAAAAGAACUUUGAAGAGAGUGUUCAAGAGGGUACCGUUGAGAGGUAAAUGGGUGGGGUCCGAGGAUUCAAUCCAGUGGUCCCUGGCUGGCCAUGCCGGUGGUUUCUGGCAGAAGAGGAAGCAGUUAGCAGACUGGAUUAAAAGCCAG
rnacentral:ncRNA from 1 species